AGCUCCAACCCGAGGCUUUCCGCCGCGGUACGGAGGUUCUUCAACUGCGUAUCCGAGGUCGGACUUGUGGGGUUGAUGGCCACAGCGAAUACAUUGGUGCUUGGGCGGACCUCAUGCAUGAACUCCAGGCGUUUACGCGACACCGNGCUCUGGCUGGACACACCGGUAAGAUUCCCUCCCGGCCGGGACAUACUGCCCACCACGCCG
rnacentral:misc_RNA from 1 species